UCUGUGUUUCAGCUUCUAAUCUACCACCAUCUUCUGGGAAGUCCUGAGGGGGGACUGUUUGUGGUGGUAGGUGCCAGGAUUCAUUCCAAGGUCUCCUUGUUAAAGUUGCCUUGUGUGCAUCGGCGCCGGGAGAAGGAAGAGACACGACUCGCAGUCAGUCAGUGUGUUGAAAGCCUGGUUUAGUAUGUACAGCUCUCACUGGUAUUUUGUGGACUCUUUGGUCACCUUUUGGAGGCAGGCAGAGAAACCAUUCAACCAGUGGGACUAAUAUGGAAGAAGUGAAGUUGGAUGGUUUAAGAGAGAUUGGACAUUUGUUGUGGAUUAAUGAUUUUAUUCUGACGUAUAUGUGUAAUGAUAAGCAUUCAGUAUUACAAUGUGCAACUCCAGGUUGAUAUUGCAUCCAUCAUAGAUGAAGACUUCUUUUAUUUAUCAUUCUUUCUACAGUUGUGUCAGUUUAUUUAAAGGAAAAUAUAUCUUUGAUCUGAAUGGAAAGGUUGCUUUCUUCUGUACUUUGAACUUACACUAUAUUAGUGAGUGUGUUAAUUUAUCAUUGAACAAAAGACAAUGGCUGGUUACGGGUAUCAAGACUUUUUGAACAGUCUUAAAAAACUUCCGGAUGAAAGAACGCAAGAGGACCUGAAAAUACUUUAUACUCAUCUUCAUGGAAUGGGGGCAUUGUCUUCUCUUCGAGAAGCAUCUCUUAGAAGUUUAUGUAAAACUGUGAGAUAUGAAAAACAUGAUGCCAAUGACAUCCUUUAUUGCCGGGGUGAGUUAAGCUCGUGCUGGUACAUUCUUCUGUCUGGUUCUGUUUUCAUCGAUGGGUCGAUGUUCUUGCCGAGAAGCAGCUUUGGAAAAAGGACAGCAGGAGGUGGACGCCGGGUAAAUGAGUGCCUUAUUUUGGAAUCGUCCGAAAUGAUUGCGAUUGAUUAUCCGGACGUCCAGCUGAUGCGGCCUGGUCAGCGACAGUCCUGUACUACCAUGAACCUGGAAAAACUACUCGCUCUCGAACAGGACGAGGUAUCUGUGGAACCUCGUCCUCAUCGAUUACACAUGGACGGCACUGACGUAGUAGAUCACCGGCCUCACCAUCACAUACAGUUAUCUGAAUAUCAGCCAGUGCAAACCAUGUUACACAGAGGUGAAAAUUUGCUCAAAUCCAACCGAAGCUCCCAUGGCAGUGAUACUUCUUCAGCCUAUUCAGGAUCUGAUACCAUGCAAUCAGUGCAGUCCUCACUGGAGGACCAGGAAGUGGACCUUUCUGGCCUUAUGGAGAGUGCUGUGGAUUCUGAUGAUGAGGAGGAUCUGGCUGAGUUAAUUGAUAGCCUCACUGUGAGAGACACUGUGCGAGAAUGUCUUGAGAAGGACUCUUCAGAAAGGACAGAUGAUGAUAUUGAAGUUUUGUUGGAGCUCAUGCAACACUUACCGGCUUUUGCUAACAUGACUUUAGCAGUAAGAAGAGCAUUAUGUGCAGUAAUGGUUUUUGCUGUUGUCGAAAAAGCUGGGACAGUUGUGAUGAAUGAUGGAGAGGAACUCGAUUCCUGGUCCGUCAUUGUUAAUGGGCAAGUGGAAGUUGAACUUCCAGAUGGGAACAUUCAGGAGUUGCAUUUUGGAGACAGUUUUGGGAUAACUGCCACAACAGAGAAAAUGUAUCAUCAGGGAACAAUGCGCACCAAAGUGGAUGACUGUCAGUUUGUUUGUAUUGCUCAGAGUGAUUACCACAAAAUUCUCCAUCAGGGAGAAGAAAACACUAAAAAACACGAAGAAGACGGUCAAGUUAUCCUUGUAACAGAACGGAGGAUCUUGGAUGGAGGAAGUCGUCAGGGUCACGUGGUCAUUAGGGGAACAUCCGAUAGUCUAAUGGCUCAACUAGUGGAAGAAAAUACUCUGGAUCCCAGCUAUGUAGAAGAUUUCCUACUGACACAUAGAACCUUUAUUUCUUCUCCUCUGGUGGUUGCAAAUAAUCUUCUAACUUGGUUUAAAGACCAUCAACUGCGAGACAAAGUGACUAGAGUUGUUCUCCUAUGGAUUAAUUACCACUUCCCAGAUUUUGAGAUGGAUGCAGAUAUGAUGGAAUUCCUUGAGAAGUUUGAAUCUGUUCUUGAACAAGAGAAAAUGCAAAGUCAAUUACGUUUACUUAAUAUUGCUUGUGCCACUAAGGCUCGUAGUAGGACAAUCACUUUGGCUCGCUCUACACGGGAUGAUGUCCUUCACUUCUCUAUUCUUGGUGGCUAUGAGCGUGGAUUUGGAAUAUUCAUCUCUAAGGUUAACAAGGGCUCUAAAGCUGAAGAUGUGGGUUUACGAAGAGGUGACCAGAUUCUUGAAGUCAAUGGACAAAGUUUUGAACAUGUUAGCCAUGCUCGAGCUCUGGAAAUCUUACGAGGGACAACACAUCUUUCAAUUACUGUUAGAUCCAAUCUUUUAGCUUUUAAAGAAAUGCUCAAUACACCUGAGAAUUCCCCCCGCCAGCGAGGAAGAAAAGUUUCAGAAAUUGCUCGUUUGCAGUCUGAUCCUAGAGCUAGGUUAUCUUCUCACUUUGACUGGGGAGAUAUCAAAGGAGAAAUGGUUAUUCCCUUAGAGCUGGGAGUGAGUGCAUUACUCCAACCUCCAAAUUCACCUCCACCCCAGUGUUUGAGAACUUCUUCUGGUCCUGUUGGUGAUGGUAAACAAGAAAAAAAAGGCUUCAAGACUCUCAGUAACCGAGGAAAAAUAAAAAAAGCACUUGCAAAAAUGAAUAUCAUACAUAAAUCUGGUAAUAGUGAAUCUCAACUGAACAGUUCAGAUGAUAGUUUAUAUUCCUUACGCAGUGGGAGCAGUAAUGGUUCAACAAAUCACCAUAGGACAAGGGCAGUGUCUCCUAAACGAUCUUCUGGAAGUGGCUCCCUUUAUCAUAGUCACAGCAACCCAGACCUUGCAUCAUUAUCAGCUUAUUAUGAACCAGAGCUAAGGCCAGAUUUUCCUGAGCAUGUGCUUAAAGUGUACAGAGCAGAUCAAACUUUCAAAUAUUUACUUAUUCAUAAGGAGACUACUGCCAGAGAGGUAGUAAUGUUAUCGCUCCGGGAGUUUGGCAUUACUGACCCAAGCAGCAAAUACUCUUUGUGUGAGGUGACUUGUGGAGAAGGAGGUGUCAUAAAACAAAGAAGACUACCUGAUCAGAUGCACAAUUUGGCAGAGCGCAUUGGUCUUAGCAGUCGUUACUACUUAAAGAACAACUCCUCAACCGAAGCUCUAGUACCUGAUGAUUUAGCAGGGGAACUCCUCCGAGAGAGUCAAGUUCACUUCCUCCAGUUAAACAGUGUGGAAAUAGCCACCCAGCUUACUUUGGAAGACUUCAGCAUCUUCUGCCAAAUUGAACCCACAGAAUAUAUUGAUGACUUGUUUGAUAUCAAAUCCAGAUAUGGAACGCCAAAGCUUUCAAAGUUUGGCGAGCUGGUCAACAGAGAGAUGUUUUGGGUAGUGACUGAAGUAUGUAGUGAACCAAACCACUUGCGAAGGAUGAAGAUUAUAAAACAGUUCAUCAAAGUAGCAAGACAGUGUAAGGAAUGUAAAAACUUCAAUUCUAUGUUUGCUAUCCUGAGUGGACUUGAUCAUGGAGCAGUAUCCAGACUGAGGAGUGCAUGGGAGAAACUGCCAUCUAAGUAUUCCAAAAUGUUUAAGGAUCUGAGUGACCUCAUGGACCCAUCUCGAAAUAUGUGUAAAUACAGAACACUAAUCAGCAGUGAACAUACUCAUCCUCCUAUGAUACCAUUUUAUCCUGUCGUGAAAAAGGAUCUCACGUUCAUCCAUCUAGGCAACGACACAAAGGUGGAAGGUCUAGUUAACUUUGAAAAAUUGAGAAUGGUGGCCAAAGAAGUGCGACAACUCCUUAACAUGUGUUCAGCUCCGUAUGACCUUUUUAACAUGCUGGAGUUAGGAGGAGCCAAUCCUUCCUCUGCUAUGGCUUCUUUGAACAGCUUUGCCACAACUACUAAUGCUGCAACUGUAAAGAGAAGAAAAAAGAGCACCCCACAACCUCAUCCAAAGAAGAUGUUUGAAGAAGCACAAAUGGUGAGAAGAGUGAAAACAUAUUUAGCUAACCUUAAAGUUAUCACUGAUGAAGAUUUGCUGAGAAGUAUGUCUGUAGAAUGUGAACCAAUGACAGGAGCAGGUGUCGCUAGUAUCCAGCCUAGAAAACGAAACCCUUCACCGACCUUAUCAACAGCCAGUAGUAACAGCAGUACAUCAGAGGGAAAGAAAUCCAUAAACUCGGGAAGAAAAUUUGGUACAGAAUCACCUCAGGCUGUAAGAAAAAUGUUGGCUCUUUCCGAUCAUAGUAAACUUCGCCCCCAUCAACCUAAUAGACACUCCCAUUCCCCUUCUCCUUCCCCAAAUACAGCUCGACGAUGGCAAGACAAUGGCCAUGGUCAUGGUCGGUCUCAUAGUGAUACCCACAAUCCUUCAAUGCUUCCAGUAGACCUGUCAGCAGAGAGUUCUAGUGUGACCAGUCUAAAUCAACUUCCACUGCGUAAAUCACAGACUUCAGGGUCAGUCACAUCCACAGACAGUAGCAGUGGAGGAAGCUGCCGAUGCCACCAUGGUUAUGAAGUGGAUUCCGGUCAUAAUUCUGUUGGUUUUGACAGCCAUAGCAAUAGUUCCAUUGGAUCUGCUAACUCACCACCUCAACAUCGGCGUUCUCAUUAUAUGUCACACUCCUCCCCUCCUGUUAUUAAUCGGAUGAGAACAAAUGCACCAUACAUUCCUCAUGGGAUCCAGGUACUUCCGCCCAUUCCUCCUGGGCCUACAGGUCUUCCAUCAUCCUCAGUACUCAUGCCUCCACCCCCUCCUCCACGGGAUAGUCAUCAUUACCCUUUGAUCCGUGCACGAAGGCCUUUAGACUACCCUCACCCAUCUAAAGCAAUGCCACGUGGGCGUCAUAUGGGUCAGUUAGCCAGAGCUCAUAGUCAUGAUGGCAUGACAUCUGUAGGUUACUACAAUGCUGAUGCCACAGACCCUGAUGAAGAUGAAGAUGAAGAGACUCAAGUAUCAGCAGUGUAACUAGAAUCUCACAUGGUGGGCUUGUAUGGCAGCAAUUAUCUCUAUAACAUGAUUUGUAUUGUAAAUUGUAAUUUGUUCUAUAGAAGCUUGCUAGUCCAUAAACAUAAUACUUCUAAAUAAAGACUGUUAGUCAGGGAAGAAAGGAUUGGUGAAGUAUUCCAGCUACAGUUAAUAGGUAAAUCAUACCUUCCAUUUUUGGACAAGGAAAGAGUGUGGAAUGAAUGUAAAAUACAACCUUGGUAGUGUGGUUCGUUGUUGUUGUUGUUACAUGUAGAUGGCUGGUGUAUUUGGUGUUUGUAUCUAUUGUAUAUUGACCACAAUUUGUGGUCACAUUUUUAUUUUUAUUUUGUAUAUAAGUGUAAUAUGGAGGAGAACCAUAAUAUGGACUUGCAUGAAACCAAAUAUUGUGUUGACAUGACCUUAACUUAAGGAUUAGUGCUUUACAGAAAGGACUGAAGAAGUCAACUAUUUUGAGAUAUUGUACAUGUUAAACAUUCUCUUUGUAUGAAAGUGUAUUCCUUUUAUAAAUAGCAACUUGUAAAAAGUUAUUUUUACCCAUUGUGCAUAGGUCAGUUGGAGAUAAUUUUUAAAGAGAAAUAGAAGCUAUUUCAUUUCAUGCUUCAAUAGUUUUUCUCCUUUUGUCUAAUGUUUUAAGUUAAGUUAAACUAAACAAUUUAUGAUUAAAAUGUGAUAAUAAAACUUCGUAAGUAAAAAUCCUUUAAUUAUUAUCCUUGUUGAUGAAAUUAUGGAACACUUAAAUAAAUUCAAUACCUAAAAGCAGUUUUGAGUGAUAGAAGAAUGUUUUAAAUUCCCAUGAGUUCUGGCUGUAUAUUAUUGGUGUAUAUAUAUAGGUGAACAAUAUUAGACUACCCUCUAUUCUAGAUGUUCUCUAUUUCAAUAAAUAUACUGGAAUAAAGAUUAAGUUUAUUUUAAAUAUUGUCAAUCAUUAACAUUUAGUACAAAAUGAGAAUGUGAAAACAAGUAUUUAUAUCAGUCUGUGAACUCAUCAAGUUUUAAAAGUCCUACGUUACAGCAGUAGAAUAUAUAGCCUGGUUUACACAAGUUGAAUAUGUAAUAAAAAAAAAAAAUUAAAUGAAA
rnacentral:misc_RNA from 1 species